UGGGGCAUAUUGGGCAAUGGGCGAGAGCCUGACCCAGCGACGCCGCGUGAGGGAUGACAGCCUUCGGGUUGUAAACCUCUGUUGUAUGGGAAGAAGGAAGUGACGGUACCAUACGAGGAAGCUCCGGCUAACUACGUGCCAGCAGCCGCGGUAAUACGUAGGGAGCGAGCGUUGUCCGGAAUUACUGGGCGUAAAGGGCACGCAGGCGGUCAUAUAAGUCAGCUGUUAAAUGUAUGGGCUUAACCGAUGCAUGCGGUUGAAACUGUAUGACUGGAGUACUGGAGAGGUAAGCGGAAUUCCCGGUGUAGCGGUGAAAUGCGUAGAUAUCGGGAAGAACACCAGUGGCGAAGGCGGCUUACUGGCCAGUUACUGACGCUGAGGUGCGAAAGCCAGGGGAGCGAACCGGAUUAGAUACCCGGGUAGUCCUGGCCGUAAACGAUGAAUGCUAGGUGUGGGUAUAGCGAUAUAUCCGUGCCGGAGUUAACGCGAUAAGCAUUCCGCCUGGGGAGUACGGUCGCAAGAUUGAAACUCAAAGGAAUUGAC
rnacentral:rRNA from 1 species